rnacentral:rRNA from 1 species
UGAGGAUUUGAUCCUGGUCCAGGAUGAACGCUGGCGGCGUGGAUUAGGCAUGCAAGUCGAGCGAUCAGAUGUCGGACUUCGGACGUCAGAUUUCAGCUAUCUGAUCUCUGAUAUCUGGUGUCCGAUAUCUGGUAGCGGCGAACGAGAUAGGAACGCCUUGGUACCUUCCCCAGAGUUUGGCAUAGCUCGUCGAAAGACGGGGUAAUUCCAAAUAGUCUCCGCUUUCGCUUUUUGUUUCACAAAAAGCUUCAGCGUGACGAGUCGCAAGAUUUUGUCACGCCGCAGCUCUGUGGAACACGGAGCGAAGGCGGAGUAAAGGCGCAAGUCGCUUUGGGAUGGGCCUAGGUCUGAUCAGCUAGUUGGUAGGGUAAUGGCCUACCAAGGCUAUGACCAGUAGGGGAGCUGAGAGGCUGUUCCCCAUCGGGGGCACUGAGACACGGGCCCCACUCCUACGGGAGGCAGCAGUCGAGAAUAUUCCACAAUGGGCGAAAGCCUGAUGGAGCGACGCCGCGUAGAGGAAGAAGUAUUUCGGUAUGUAAACUCUUUUUCAUGGAGAGGAACUUCGGUGACAGUACCCAUGGAAUAAGGAGCUGCUAACUUCGUGCCAGCAGCAGCGGUAACACGAAGGCUCCGAGCGUUAUCCGGAUUUAUUGGGCGUAAAGCGCGCGUAGGCGCUUGUCGCAGAUUUUCUGCGUCCCGAAAGUGAUUUAUCACUUAAGGGAUCAAGUUUGGCGUUCAAUCUCGUGGCUCAACUGCGAGACCGCGUCGAAUACUGGGCAGGUAGAGGUAAAGAGGGGCUGACGGAACGCACGGUGUAGGGGUGAAAUCCGUUGAUAUCGUGCGGAACACCAAAAGCGAAAGCAGUCAGCUAGCUUUAUUCUGACGCUGUUGCGCGAAAGCGUGGGGAGCGAACAGGAUUAGAUACCCUGGUAGUCCACGCCCUAAACAAUGUUGACUAGCCAUU